CUCUAACCCUAAUUCCGUCGCCGUCGCCACCUUAGCCGCCGCCGUCGUGUUCUCCGUCAUAGACACCACAUCCAACUAAGCAUCCCUACUGCUCGCGAUUCACCAGUCGUCCGCCUCCGUCGUUCGUCUGCUGCCGUCGCCCGUCGUCGUCAGCAAACGCGCUCCGCCGAUCGCAAAGCAUCAUUGCCUCGUUCUAUCGUCAAUCGCCGGAGAUUGCCACAACCUGAGCCGCGCUGUGCGUCGCCGCAAGACUGAGCACCCUCCACUCCCGACCCACACGCGCGCCUGCCCCGAGCUGUCGACCUGCACCAUCCUCUCUGCCCCGAGCCACCCACGUGAAGAUCGAGCCGUGCGUGCCUGCCCCUAGCCAGUCGUGCCUUCUCCUGAGCCGUGUGCCCACCUUGGCCGAGCCGCCAGCAGAUUCCUUUCCUCCAACCAAGCCAUUUAAGUUGCUAAGCUUCUUUUAACCCUAUUUUGACCCAUUUUUGAUUUAACUUGAAACCGAGCGUGGAAUUUGUCCAAUUAAGUUUAAUUCGAGUUCGGCCUUGAUUUUUGGGAUCCUCCCUUGAGAAGCUUGAUCGUGACGGUUAGGAAAAUCUUGAUUUAACUAAUCUCCAGG